rnacentral:misc_RNA from 1 species
GAUGAAGAACGCAGCGAAAUGCGAUACGUAAUGUGAAUUGCAGAAUUCAGUGAAUCAUCGAAUCUUUGAACGCAUAUUGCGCUCUCUGGUAUUCCGGAGAGCAUGCUUGUUUGAGUAUCAGUAAACACCUCAACUCCCUUUUCUUUUUUGAAAUUGGAGCUGGACUUGAGUGAUCCCAACGCUUUCUUCCAAGAAAGUGGCGGGUUGCUUGAAAUGCAGGUGCAGCUGAACUUUUCUCUGAGCUAUAAGCAUAUCUAUUUAGUCUGCCUAAAAAACAGAUUAUUACCUUUGCUGCAGCUAACAUAAAGGAGACUAGUUCUUGUGCUGACUGAUGCAGGAUUCACAGAGACAGCUACGGCUGACUUUGUAAACUCGAUCUCAAAUCAAGUAAGACUACCCGCUGAACUUAAGCAUAUCAAUAAGCGGAGGA